AGUCGUGCCCUUUGCUGGGGCAUUCAGGUAACCUCAGAGGUUGUUUAUCCUCGUGGGGGUUCCUUGUAUCCCAAGAGUAACCAUUUUUAGAAUUCACUGCGGAACUGGCAGUAUUUGAAUACUGAAGCCUCCUCUUUUCUUCUUUGUUUUCGCCAGCAAAGGCAGUAAAGGGUAGUCACAGAAAGCUAAGAAUUUGUAUUUCUUUUUAGUUGGUGGGUCUCCUUUUGGCACAAUGUUCCUAAUUGUGGAUUGAAUUAUUGCAUGCACACAUGGGUUGGCAUGUAUCUGUCAGGCCUCUACUAUGUGCAAGGUGCAGAAGUUAGAUAGACAGACCAGAGAUAGACCUUAUCCUCCAGAUUUCCCACGGUCAAACUUUCAGGACACCAGGAUUUUAUCCAGGCUCUAAGGCUGUGUUAGUCUGCCCUUUCUACUUAGUAUUCACCACCAGACACUUCACCAAACACAUCUUCUGUGGAUUCACUUUAAUGUUAAGGAGGGAAGAGUAUAUUUUCUUAAAAAAAUUUUUUUUCAGUAGCAAGCAGAGCCAAAAAAGUAUAUUUUUAAAAUUAUCUUUUCCUCCAGAUUUUCCCAUAGCACACAGCCACCUGAUUUUUACCGUAUAUUAAUAUUUAGAAAACAAGUGAUACAAGUGUAAGGUGGGGAUUACAAUUUCAGGAAUAUCAGAGAAAGACUGUUGCUGAUUUCCUGGUAAGUAUACUAGGCUAAGUAUUAACCAGAUUUUCUUUAGCUGUUCUUUAUGUAGAAUCUACACAGGUGUGUCCAGUUGUUUCUGAGGGGAAAGGAUACCUCUUGUUAAUUAGCUUGUAGUGGAAAAUACAUGGCCUUUAGAUCCAGAUAUAGUGGCCCAGUGGAUUCUUCUUGCCUGCUGCCCAGAUACAGAUGAUUUAUCAAGGUAUAGGGAUUGCAAUGGAGAAAGAGUUUUACACAACAUCGAGUGGAAAAAUGGAAGAAGUUUUAUUAUUACUCAAAUCAGUUAUAUUAUUACUCAAAUCGGCCUCCUGGAGCAUUUGGGGGCUAGGUUUC
rnacentral:lncRNA from 1 species